AAGUCGUAACAAGGUUUCCGUAGGUGAACCUGCGGAAGGAUCAUUACCUGGCCCAGGCCGCUGCUUGUCGGCGUGCCGCUCGUGCCUCUUACCUUGACUAUGCGCACCUUUGUUGUUCCCUCGGCAGUUCGCUGCCGCCAGGGACCCCUAAAACCCUUAUGUAAUACACAGUACACUUCUGAAAACAAACCUAAUUAUUUACAACUUUCAACAAUGGAUCUCUUGGUUCUG
rnacentral:misc_RNA from 1 species